UUGAAUGAACUUGGUGUGGUUGUUGCUGGCCCUUUCGGGGGCAUGUGCACACCCAUCAUCCUCAUCUCUCCACCUGUGCACCUCUUGUAGACUUGGAUUUGACUUUCCGAGGCAACUCGGUCGGGAGGACUUGCUGGCAUUAGCUGGCUUUCCUUGCAUUUUCAAGUCUAUGUUUUUCAUAUACCCAUUGAAUGUAACAGAAUGUAACAUAUUGGGCCUUUGUGCCUAUAAAAACUUAUA
rnacentral:misc_RNA from 1 species